CAUAGGUUAAUGAGGCGAACCGGGGGAACUGAAACAUCUAAGUACCCCGAGGAAAAGAAAUCAACCGAGAUUCCCCCAGUAGCGGCGAGCGAACGGGGAGGAGCCCAGAGCCUGAAUCAGUGUGUGUGUUAGUGGAAGCGUCUGGAAAGGCGCGCGAUACAGGGUGACAGCCCCGUACACAAAAAUGCACAUAUUGUGAGCUCGAUGAGUAGGGCGGGACACGUGGUAUCCUGUCUGAAUAUGGGGGGACCAUCCUCCAAGGCUAAAUACUCCUGACUGACCGAUAGUGAACCAGUACCGUGAGGGAAAGGCGAAAAGAACCCCGGCGAGGGGAGUGAAAAAGAACCUGAAACCGUGUACGUACAAGCAGUGGGAGCCUCUUUAUGGGGUGACUGCGUACCUUUUGUAUAAUGGGUCAGCGACUUAUAUUCUGUAGCAAGGUUAACCGAAUAGGGGAGCCGAAGGGAAACCGAGUCUUAACUGGGCGUUAAGUUGCAGGGUAUAGACCCGAAACCCGGUGAUCUAGCCAUGGGCAGGUUGAAGGUUGGGUAACACUAACUGGAGGACCGAACCGACUAAUGUUGAAAAAUUAGCGGAUGACUUGUGGCUGGGGGUGAAAGGCCAAUCAAACCGGGAGAUAGCUGGUUCUCCCCGAAAGCUAUUUAGGUAGCGCCUCGUGAAUUCAUCUCCGGGGGUAGAGCACUGUUUCGGCAAGGGGGUCAUCCCGACUUACCAACCCGAUGCAAACUGCGAAUACCGGAGAAUGUUAUCACGGGAGACACACGGCGGGUGCUAACGUCCGUCGUGAAGAGGGAAACAACCCAGACCGCCAGCUAAGGUCCCAAAGUCAUGGUUAAGUGGGAAACGAUGUGGGAAGGCCCAGACAGCCAGGAUGUUGGCUUAGAAGCAGCCAUCAUUUAAAGAAAGCGUAAUAGCUCACUGGUCGAGUCGGCCUGCGCGGAAGAUGUAACGGGGCUAAACCAUGCACCGAAGCUGCGGCAGCGACACUAUGUGUUGUUGGGUAGGGGAGCGUUCUGUAAGCCUGUGAAGGUGGCCUGUGAGGGUUGCUGGAGGUAUCAGAAGUGCGAAUGCUGACAUAAGUAACGAUAAAGCGGGUGAAAAGCCCGCUCGCCGGAAGACCAAGGGUUCCUGUCCAACGUUAAUCGGGGCAGGGUGAGUCGACCCCUAAGGCGAGGCCGAAAGGCGUAGUCGAUGGGAAACAGGUUAAUAUUCCUGUACUUGGUGUUACUGCGAAGGGGGGACGGAGAAGGCUAUGUUGGCCGGGCGACGGUUGUCCCGGUUUAAGCGUGUAGGCUGGUUUUCCAGGCAAAUCCGGAAAACCAAGGCUGAGGCGUGAUGACGAGGCACUACGGUGCUGAAGCGACAAAUGCCCUGCUUCCAGGAAAAGCCUCUAAGCAUCAGGUAACAUCAAAUCGUACCCCAAACCGACACAGGUGGUCAGGUAGAGAAUACCAAGGCGCUUGAGAGAACUCGGGUGAAGGAACUAGGCAAAAUGGUGCCGUAACUUCGGGAGAAGGCACGCUGAUAUGUAGGUGAAGCGACUUGCUCGUGGAGCUGAAAUCAGUCGAAGAUACCAGCUGGCUGCAACUGUUUAUUAAAAACACAGCACUGUGCAAACACGAAAGUGGACGUAUACGGUGUGACGCCUGCCCGGUGCCGGAAGGUUAAUUGAUGGGGUUAGCGGUAACGCGAAGCUCUUGAUCGAAGCCCCGGUAAACGGCGGCCGUAACUAUAACGGUCCUAAGGUAGCGAAAUUCCUUGUCGGGUAAGUUCCGACCUGCACGAAUGGCGUAAUGAUGGCCAGGCUGUCUCCACCCGAGACUCAGUGAAAUUGAACUCGCUGUGAAGAUGCAGUGUACCCGCGGCAAGACGGAAAGACCCCGUGAACCUUUACUAUAGCUUGACACUGAACAUUGAGCCUUGAUGUGUAGGAUAGGUGGGAGGCUUUGAAGUGUGGACGCCAGUCUGCAUGGAGCCGACCUUGAAAUACCACCCUUUAAUGUUUGAUGUUCUAACGUUGGCCCGUAAUCCGGGUUGCGGACAGUGUCUGGUGGGUAGUUUGACUGGGGCGGUCUCCUCCUAAAGAGUAACGGAGGAGCACGAAGGUUGGCUAAUCCUGGUCGGACAUCAGGAGGUUAGUGCAAUGGCAUAAGCCAGCUUGACUGCGAGCGUGACGGCGCGAGCAGGUGCGAAAGCAGGUCAUAGUGAUCCGGUGGUUCUGAAUGGAAGGGCCAUCGCUCAACGGAUAAAAGGUACUCCGGGGAUAACAGGCUGAUACCGCCCAAGAGUUCAUAUCGACGGCGGUGUUUGGCACCUCGAUGUCGGCUCAUCACAUCCUGGGGCUGAAGUAGGUCCCAAGGGUAUGGCUGUUCGCCAUUUAAAGUGGUACGCGAGCUGGGUUUAGAACGUCGUGAGACAGUUCGGUCCCUAUCUGCCGUGGGCGCUGGAGAACUGAGGGGGGCUGCUCCUAGUACGAGAGGACCGGAGUGGACGCAUCACUGGUGUUCGGGUUGUCAUGCCAAUGGCACUGCCCGGUAGCUAAAUGCGGAAGAGAUAAGUGCUGAAAGCAUCUAAGCACGAAACUUGCCCCGAGAUGAGUUCUCCCUGAGACUUAGAGUCUCCUGAAGGAACGUUGAAGACGACGACGUUGAUAGGCCGGGUGUGUAAGCGCAGCGAUGCGUUGAGCUAACCGGUACUAAUGAACCGUGAGGCUUAACCUUACAACGCCGAAGCUGUU
rnacentral:rRNA from 1 species